UACAGAGGAUGCAAACGUUGCUCGGAAUUACUGGGCGUAAAGCGCGCGCAGGUGGUCUCGUAAGUCGGGCGUGAAAGCCCGGGGCUCAACCUCGGAAGUGCGCUCGAUACUGCAGGACUUGAGUACUGGAGAGGAUCGCGGAAUUCCCGGUGUAGAGGUGAAAUUCGUAGAUAUCGGGAGGAACACCAGUGGCGAAGGCGGCGAUCUGGACAGAUACUGACACUGAGGCGCGAAAGCGUGGGAAGCAAACAGG
rnacentral:rRNA from 1 species